rnacentral:rRNA from 1 species
GCUGGGUGUGUAAGUGCAGCGAUGCAUUGAGCUAACCAGUACUAAUGAUCCGUGAGGCUUAACCUUACAACACCAAAGGUGUUUUG